rnacentral:misc_RNA from 1 species
GAUGAAGAACGUAGCGAAAUGCGAUAAGUAAUGCGAAUUGCAGAAUUCAGUGAAUCAUCGAAUCUUUGAACGCACAUUGCGCCCCUUGGUAUUCCGAGGGGCAUGCCUGUUCGAGCGUCAUUAUAACCCCUCAAGCUCAGCUUGGUGUUGGGGCCUGCUGCACUGGCAGCCCUUAAAAUCAGUGGCGGCGCCAUCUGGCUCUAAGCGUAGUAAUUCUUCUCGCUAUGGAGUCCUGGUGGAUGCUUGCCAUCAACCCCCAAUUUUUCUAUGGUUGACCUCGGAUCAGGUAGGGAUACCCGCUGAACUUAAGCAUAUCAAUAAGCGGAGGA